AGAGCCUCCUACAGCAGGAAGACAUGCAAAUAAGGCUCCUCUGUGCCCAUGAAAGCCAGCCCUGCCCUGACCCUGCAGCUCUGGCAGAGGAGCCCAGAUCUGGAUUCCUGGGUCCUCCCAUUCUGUGAUCAGCACUUAACACAAGCCACUCAUCAUGGACUCGAGGCUUAUGUGGCUUUGUCUUAUUCUUUUUUUAAAAGGAGUCCAUUGUGAGGUGCAGCUGGUGGAGUCUGGGGGAGGCUUAGAGCAGCCUGGAAAGUCCCUGAAACUCUCCUGUGCAGCCUCUGGAUUCACCUUCAGUAGCUACGAGAUGAGCUGGGUGCGCCAGGCUUCAGGCAAGGGGCUGAAGUGGGUCGCAUACAUUAGUUUUGGCAGUGGUACCAUCAAGUAUGCCGACGCGGUGAAGGGCCGGUUCAGCAUCUCCAGGGACAAUGCCAAGAACACCCUGUACCUGCAAAUGAACAGUCUCAAGUCUGAGGACACAGCCAUGUAUUACUGUGCAAGGGACACAGUGAGUGAACACUGCUGAGAGCUCAGACACAAACCUCCCUGUAGGAAAUUUGGAACCAGCAGGGGGCGAUCAGAGCCCAGAAAGCUCUGGUCACAUAGGAGCCUGUUCAGACAGGCAAACCGGGCUGGACUCCUCUCUGUCAAGGCUUCCUCUCCACACCACACUCAGCGCUUCUCUCUACAGUUGUAAUGUGUAGUAAUUCAACAAGAGCCCUAAUAUCUAUUAUACAUUUUCCGUUGGAA